CUACGGGAGGCAGCAGUGGGGAAUAUUGGACAAUGGGCGAAAGCCUGAUCCAGCCAUGCCGCGUGAGUGAUGAAGGCCUUAGGGUUGUAAAGCUCUUUCGCCUGAGACGAUGAUGACGGUAUCAGGAGAAGAAGCCCCGGCUAAUUCCGUGCCAGCAGCCGCGGUAAUACGGAAGGGGCUAGCGUUGUUCGGAAUUACUGGGCGUAAAGCGCGUGCAGGCGGUUAGACAAGUGAGGCGUGAAAGCCCUGGGCUCAACCUGGGAAUUGCGCUUCAGACUGUUUGACUUGAGUUCGGGAGAGGGUGGUGGAAUUCCCAGUGUAGAGGCGAAAUUCGUAGAUAUUGGGAGGAACACCGGUGGCGAAGGCGGCCGCCUGGCCCGUAACUGACGCUAUAGCGCGAAAGCGUGGGGAGCAAACAGGAUUAGAAACCCUGGUAGUCC
rnacentral:rRNA from 1 species